GUUGUCACCAAUCGCGGGAAAAGAGGAAUUCUACAGGAAAUAUGGCGCGAAUGCAACGUAAACAAGCCAGCUUUUCUAUAAACGUAUUGUUCCUGAUUGUAUCAUUUGUUUUUAUAGAAUUCGACUUAUUCGAGUUUAUUGGAGCAAAAAAUGGAACUAUUAAUGAUGGCGAUGUUGUCAUUGUUGAUCAUGAUUUAGAAAAUGAGGAAACUCAAAUUUAAUACUGAUACGCCAGGAAAAUAUCUCGUGUGGAGAGUUCAUCAUUCACUCCAUUCAAUCGAGCUUUGUUUCAAAGUCCUGGCACAUCAGCAAAGGUAUAAUAAAAAAAAAUAUGGUAGACGAAAUUGUACUUAUAAAUGUACUGUUAUUCUUUGCUAUUUUAUUCUUAUAAAUUGUCUUUGACUCUUUGUAUAUUCAGUGUAAAGCUGGAGUAAAUACGAGCAACAAAAUUGCUGCAACUUGCAACAAAAUCUGAUUUCAACGCAUGUACGAGGCAACAUGUGUCAACAUUUCUAUGACUUGUAUUAAGUUAUGUGUCAACAUCUCCACUUAACAUCUGUUGAAAUCAGAUUUUGUUGCAAAUUGCAGCUAUUUUGUUGUCUGUAUUUCUCCACCUUAAUACCUCUGUGUAACAUUAUUCUGCAGUGUAACAUUAUUCAUGUAUGUUUAUUCAUAUGUCAUCUGCGCCCCAAUUUCCAUUUUAGUAAAUGACAUACUUUUUUGUAGUUUCCUAGCAGAAAGAUCAGGCUGACUCUGUCAGAGAAGUCACCAGUGAAAAAAACAUAAAUGGACCUUUGAGGAAAAUAAAGCUUUGAUCAAGUUGAUAUCUAUUGCCAAAAAAGAUCCAUGGAUCUGGAGAAAUUUUGUCCAUAACAAAAUAAAAUAACAACAAUUUACCGCAUUAGCCUAGUAAUCUAUGUCACUGUUAUAAUGGGUCGUUCCAGAAAAGAUCCAUACUCCCCCCACAGAGGAAAUUUCUGCCGUCCGGAGGGGGAGGAGAGAAAAAAUUGUUUCUGAUAAUAGUAAAUGUAUUAGGACAUCCGAAGGGGGUAGGGGGGUUAACUUCCUAUUUCCUCCGUGGGGGCAGUAUGGAUGUUUUCUGGAAUGACCCAAUUGUAGGGAUCCAUAAUAAAAUAAAUAUGUAGGAAUCCAUAAUAAAAUAACAACAAUUUACAAUAUACUUCUUGUGUGUGUUGGUUUUAUUUACUCAGGUGAAUAUGUUUGUGAUGUUACUCUGAGUAUGCAUCCACACCGAGCUGAGCUCAGUUGGUAGAGCAUAAUUGGACUAAUAUCCCAAAGAUGGCAACUUCGAUUCCCACCAUGGUCAGGCAAACUUUUCAGCUUGCCCGGUGUGGAUGCACACUCAGAAUAACAUCACAAACAUCAAUUUACAAUAUUCUAGUAAUCUAUGUCACUGUUAUAAUUGUUUCUUGGAUCAUCUCUGUCCCAUGGUCCACUUUUCGCAAUAAGCAAUGCUGCACUGUAGAGUAAUAGUACCCACCAAGCACACUGAAUUUAUUGGUUGUAGAUCACAGUUAUAUCCAGUUUGCCCUUGUAAAUUUAUUAGUGACAGCACACUGUCCAAAUCUUCAUUAACAGUAUCUGGACCUUGAGGUUGAGAAGGUGGCAAUGGCAGAAUAUCUAAAUCCCACAAAAUAACAUUCCCAAAGAUAAAAGAUUGUCCUGUUCCAUCUCGUCUUAGAUCACUGAGGUCAGAGAACUGCAAUAUAUAAAAACAAUCUU
rnacentral:lncRNA from 1 species